rnacentral:lncRNA from 1 species
UUACGCUCGAUACUUCGGCCGAAGAUUCCAGAAUCAUAUCUUAGAGUAUCCAUCCUCUCUUAACGAGGAUUAGAGAUUCCUUGUUGCGCAUUCACUUGCCUUCAUGACUAAGUGGCUUAACCCCGACUAUGCCGUGGACACCCGCGGAUGAAGUGACUUUGACAUAAUCAAAGAUCAAGUACUUAACCACAAGACAACGAUGAUGCCUCAGGUCAAAGGACUAGUUACAUUAUUCCAACUAUUAGAGUUACUUGCUUGACAUAUGAGUAGACCUCCAUGCAAGUACUCUCGUUCGAUUGUGUUCAGUGAACUCAUUCCCUUAAUGAGCACCUACAUACUUGUCUUAGUGUCACUACACGAAUGGGAUGAGACUUUCCAUCCUUCUAAUUGAAGCGGACAUAGUAUGUACCGGUCUAUGCAUUGUCAGUAUCCCUCCGACAAUCCUAUGACCAGGAACCUUUUGGACAUGAUGGUUAUGUGAAGAAGGUCUCUAUAGUCUAACUUCAUUAUAUUACUUCUUCAAUCGAUCCAUUGUCCAUGGAUUCACCAUUUAGGACAUAUAUCGUUUAUAGAGAUAGUCCUAAAUAGUAUCUUUGCCAUUUGAUGUAUAAGAUUCAUCUACACAUCCAUUUAUUAUCCUGAAAGGUUUCUUCCAAAGAUUGACUUUCAGGGCACAUUUCCAACAUUCUCCACCUCUUCUGAUUAGCUUGGGUAACCAUGACAUACUGCUAGGUGUCACUCAUGGUUUGUG